rnacentral:rRNA from 14 species
CACAACGACUCUCGGCAACGGAUAUCUCGGCUCUCGCAUCGAUGAAGAACGUAGCGAAAUGCGAUACUUGGUGUGAAUUGCAGAAUCCCGUGAACCAUCGAGUCUUUGAACGCAAGUUGCGCCCGAAGCCGUCAGGCCGAGGGCACGCCUGCCUGGGCGUCACGC